CGAGUGGCGGACGGGUGAGUAAUGUCUGGGAAACUGCCCGAUGGAGGGGGAUAACUACUGGAAACGGUAGCUAAUACCGCAUAACGUCGCAAGACCAAAGAGGGGGACCUUCGGGCCCCUUGCCAUCGGAUGUGCCCAGAUGGGAUUAGCUAGUAGGUGAGGUAACGGCUCACCUAGGCGACGAUCCCUAGCUGGUCUGAGAGGAUGACCAGCCACACUGGAACUGAGACACGGUCCAG
rnacentral:rRNA from 1 species